rnacentral:lncRNA from 1 species
UAUCAAAAAAUAAUAAAAUUUAUAUAAUAUUUUUUAUUGAUUAUUUAUUUAACUAAUGUAACUUAAAUAUUUUUAUUAUUUCAAAAAUAUUUUUUAUUGCAUAGGAAGGAUAAAUGAAAUUGUGGCCACCACAUCCUAUGGAAGAACUUUUCUUCAUUGUACAAAACCCACGCAAGUUUUAUUUUAAAUGAAAGUAUUUAAAAAUCCUAUGAAUUCCUUAAAAGUCUAGUAAAGUUUUAAGAUGAAAGUCUAUAUAAGUUUAUAAUAUACUUCCAUUAAUUCCAUACAAAUUAGAACAUGAAUUUCACAAAAGUACAUUACUUAAAAAAUUAUAUUGAAGUUUUUAAAAAUCUUAGAACCUGUUUGGGAGUGAUUUUGAGAAUUGAUUUUUUGACCGUUGGGAGAAAAGUGGGGUUCAUCUGUGAGAGAAGAAG